AUUGAACGCUGGCGGCAUGCCUUACACAUGCAAGUCGAACGGUAACAGGUCUUCGGACGCUGACGAGUGGCGAACGGGUGAGUAAUACAUCGGAACGUGCCCAGUCGUGGGGGAUAACUACUCGAAAGAGUAGCUAAUACCGCAUACGAUCUGAGGAUGAAAGCGGGGGACCUUCGGGCCUCGCGCGAUUGGAGCGGCCGAUGGCAGAUUGGGUGGUUGGUGGGGUAAAAGCUUACCAAGCCGACGAUCUGUAGCUGGUCUGAGAGGACGACCAGCCACACUGGGACUGAGACACGGCCCAGACUCCUGCGGGAGGCAGCAGUGGGGAAUUUUGGACAAUGGGCGAAAGCCUGAUCCAGCAAUGCCGCGUGCAGGAUGAAGGCCUUCGGGUUGUAAACUGCUUUUGUACGGAACGAAAAAGUCUCCUCUAAUACAGGAGGCCCAUGACGGUACCGUAAGAAUAAGCACCGGCUAACUACGUGCCAGCAGCCGCGGUAA
rnacentral:rRNA from 1 species